rnacentral:rRNA from 1 species
GAUGAACGCUAGCUACAGGCUUAACACAUGCAAGUCGAGGGGUAACGAGAGGAAAGCUUGCUUUCCUUGUCGACGACCGGCGCACGGGUGAGUAACGCGUAUCCAACCUGCCCCCAACUAAGGAAUAACCUUGCGAAAGUAAGACUAAUACCUUAUAAUUUCCUCAGAUGUCAUCUGACGAGGAAUAAAGAUUUAUCGGUUGUGGAUGGGGAUGCGUCUGAUUAGCUUGUUGGCGGGGUAACGGCCCACCAAGGCAACUACCAGUAGGGGUUCUGAGAGGAAGGUCCCCCACAUUGGAACGGAGACACGGUCCAAACUCCUACGGGAGGCAGCAGUGAGGAAUAUUGGUCAAUGGGCGGAAGCCUGAACCAGCCAAGUAGCGUGCAGGAUGACGGCCCUAUGGGUUGUAAACUGCUUUUAUACAGGAAUAAAGUUAGCCACGUGUGGUUAUUUGUAGGUACUGUAUGAAUAAGGACCGGCUAAUUCCGUGCCAGCCGCCGCCGUAA